GUUCUCAAGAGCGAAAUGACAUUUGUGCUUUUCAGAUUCACAUUCGGCUGGUCUGCCAGAAGGUCGGGUGCAGCGAUGCGACUUUGGAGUUUUAUUCUGCUACUCAUCAACAAAGCGGUCCCCAGACGUGAUUUUGGGGGCGAGAAAACGGGGGUGGAAAAGCCAGGAAGACGAGGGUUCGCAAAGUGUCCGGCAGAUGGCGCAACGCACCGUCCGGCUCACUAUUGGGAAGCGAGGCAGCCCCAAGUCCCCUCGCAAUGGAGACUCCGUCGCCCGAAUCAGAAAGAAGCGUCCCGUCCCGGGGUGAGCGCGCGGCGUGCCGCUGACGGCCAUUUGCAAGGCGUCUUCUGCAGAUGGGCCCGUCGCUUCUCACCUCUGUGGGAAAUCCCCCGCCGGCCAGACACCGUCCCGUCCCGUCCUGACUCAUCCCUCGUUCUUCCCCACGCCGCCGACUUUUGCAGACACAACAAGGCAAGCGACGCGUUUGAAUUUCCUCCCUUCCUUCUUGUUGUUCUCCUUUCAGAAUCAUCUCAGACCGAGCGUGUUGACGCUGGCGUUUGCACAUUUGCAAAUGUUUCCAUAUUUCAUAAGAGCCCGCGAAUAGGAAGUCGGCCGAGCGGUCUCCGCGGACUGAGAC